UGGAGAAUGUGUGUCCACCCAUUGUUCCAUUCUGAGGCACGUAUGGAGAUAAAACACUAUAGAUAGUCAUGUGACUGAGGGACGCUUUAUAAGCCGAUUGAGUUAGAACACAGGCGUCUAGAUACUUCUGAAGGAUACCCUAAACUACAGGACAAAACACAGGUCUUAAUCCAAAUAUGUCAGACACAGAAGAAGUUGAAUAUGAGGAGCAGGAGGGUAAGUUACAGUGGCUUUACUUUUACAUAUAAAAGAGAAAAAGAGAAAUCAUGUUUAUAAAUCACUCAAUUCAACAGAACAGAGCCAGAAACCUCAGUCUAUUGAUACGAGAUGACAGGUAUUAAUGC
rnacentral:lncRNA from 1 species